rnacentral:rRNA from 1 species
GAUUAACGCUGGCGGCGUGCCUAACACAUGCAAGUCGAGCGGCAGCGAGUUUUACACUGAAUUCUGGAAGCUUCUAGUUGAAAGAGAAGAUUUAUUCAAGAAUUUUGUGUAAAAUGUCGGCGAGCGGCGGACGGCUGAGUAACGCGUGGGGACGUACCCCAAAGUGAGGGAUAACGCAUCGAAAGGUGUGCUAAUACCGCAUAUGGUCUUCGGAUUAAAGCCUUCGGGCGCUUUGGGAACGGCCUGCGUAAGAUUAGAUAGUUGGUGGGGUAAUGGCCUACCAAGUCGACGAUCUUUAACUGGUUUGAGAGGAUGAUCAGUCAGACUGGAACUGAGACACGGUCCAGACUCCUACGGGAGGCAGCAGUGAGGAAUCUUCCACAAUGGGCGAAAGCCUGAUGGAGCAACGCCGCGUGCAGGAUGAAGGCCUUCGGGUUGUAAACUGCUUUUAUAAGUGAGGAUUAUGACAGUAACUUAUGAAUAAGGAUCGGCUAACUACGUG